rnacentral:lncRNA from 1 species
GGGCAUCUUUCCUCUGAUGCAGUGCGGUAUUUUCCUGCAAGAGCCAGGAGCUUGGGGCAGGUGUAAUAACUGAGGAAAUGGAUGCGCCAGCAGACAGCUGUGCUGUGAGCCUCACCCUUCCGUUCAAGGGAGCUUGCCCAUCUUGCCAUAGCCUUACCCUCUUGUGAUAGGCUUUCCUGGGACCUGCAGCAAAGUCUGCAAAUGUUGAGAGUGUCUUCAGUCACAGAACUGACUCCCCGGAGGGCUCGCUGCCUUGCUUUUCUCUGGUCCUUGUUCAUCGCAUACCUCCAGGCAACUUCAGCCUCACCUUUGCCCUAAGGAAGCUGCAGAAUCCUUCACUCCUCCA